rnacentral:sRNA from 1 species
AAGCACAGUAUAAGAAGCAACUCCUUUUAUUAUAUAUAUAUAUCUAUUGUACCAAUGCUAGUUCUCUAGGCUCCAUUGAUAUUCCAACACCAGUUUCUCCUGAGUGUGACCCCACACAACAGUUCCGUGAGCCUCCUCUGCAUGGCUUAGAAGAGCAGAUUUGGCCGGGAGCAGCUUCUUCUCACAAACAUUACACUCAACCCCAGUGGCCAGCCAUGGAGGAUUGAUAUGUCUUUGUAGAAAAUGCCUUAGAAAGCAAAUAUAAGACUGAAAACAGAUCUGAGACUGUUCAGCUGUAGAUUUGAUCUGCACAGACUUCAUUACUUAAUGCAAGAGAAUCUCAGUAUUAUUCUUUACUGAGCAUCUCUGCUGCUUGAUUGAAGAACAAGAGUUAUCAUUGAUCACAGAUCUGUCACAGAUCUGUGUAAGCUGACACAAAAACUGUUCUUUCUCCACAUCACAGAAUGCAACUUCUGCAUUGAUUGUGUUGAUUCUUCAUCAAUAUUCCACUUCAAGAUUAGCACUCAGCAUGGUCAGUAUGCAGUCAACAAAUAUUAAAUACUCAGA